rnacentral:lncRNA from 1 species
UGCAAUCUUAUUAUAUGUGGUCAUUUUAUUUUAAAAAGUGCUUACGAGCUUAUCUAUUCUUGAUAAAAUAUCAGUCUUAAUUGUUAUCCUAUAUUUGAAAAUCUUUUGAGUUGGAAUGACCCUAAAUGUUAAAGAGUUUAAAUGACUUCUUACUUAUGAUGAAAGAUAUUUUAGAGUGAUUUCCGUAGAUAACAUUUGUCUUCAUUGUCACAAAUAUCCAUAAAUCAUUAUCAUAUGUUAAGAGACUAUGACGAUGUUAAGGAUUUUUAUAAUUAUCUUAUUAUACUGGAUCACUGGAGUAAGUUUUUUAGUCUUGUUAUGUAUAAUUGGUUAAAUUGUAAUUUAUGGAUGAUUUCUUUAGGGCUUCUUCAUGUAGUUCUACAUAUGGUAGACUUGUUGGUGAUACGUAUGGUAAAUUUGUCAAAAGUUUUUACAAUAUAAUUGGUUCUUGUUAUGCGGAUGGGUUGAACUUUGGACUUUAAAGUUGUGCAUUAAGCUUGCACAACAACUCUAUCUUACUUCAAUUAUUUUUAAAUUAGACUCUACACUUGUAGUCAAUAUAAUUCAGGCAGGAUCAUCCACAAAUAUGCACAUCCAACCUCUCAUCCAAUAGAUUAUUUAUCGUCUCUAAGGCUCAUAUUAGAGAACAUUAGUUACUGAUGUCUUUAUGGAGGUCAAUCGGCGAGCAAAUUAGUUAGCUAAUAAAGGUCACUCUGCUCAAUCUUUUAAAUGAGUUUUAGUUGAUUUUUUGUUUCCGGAAUUAAACAUUAUUAUGGUAGAUGAUUAAUUUUAAAAUUAAAUUCUCAAUCAAGAUUUAACGGUACACAUAUUUGAUUUUUGAUUUUAUAUCCGCACAAUAAUAUACAAAAGAAUUCAAAAUUUAAUGUAAAUGUUAUUUAGAAAAAUAAUUAACACUUUAUAUUUUCUAAGAAGAGUUUAAAAAU